GACGAACCGAGCGAACGUUGUUCGGAAUCACUGGGCUUAAAGGGCGCGUAGGCGGGUGCUCAAGUCCGGGGUGAAAUCCCACAGCUCAACUGUGGAAUUGCCUCGGAUACUGGGCGUCUCGAGGGUGGCAGGGGUAUGCGGAACUAUCGGUGGAGCGGUGAAAUGCGUUGAUAUCGAUAGGAACUCCGGUGGCGAAGGCGGCAUACUGGUCCCACUUCUGACGCUGAGGCGCGAAAGCCAGGGG
rnacentral:rRNA from 1 species